CGAAGUAAGAAAGGGCGUACGGUGGAUGCCUAGGCUCUCACAGGCGAUGAAGGACGUGAUAAGCUGCGAUAAGCUUCGGGGAGGUGCAAAUGACCUUUGAUCCGGAGAUUUCCGAAUGGGACAACCCGGCAGGCUGAAGGCCUGUCAUCCGAUGAAUAUCGGAGGCAAACGCGGGGAACUGAAACAUCUUAGUACCCGCAGGAAGAGAAAAUAAAAAUGAUUUCCCUAGUAGUGGCGAGCGAACGGGGAAGAGCCCAAACCGCUGCGGUUCCGGCCGCGGCGGGGUUGUAGGACUGCGACAUCGAGAAGAAGAAGUGAGUGGAACGUACUGGAAAGUGCGGCCAUAGCGGGUGAUAGCCCCUUACACGAAGCCUCUUUCAUCGUAGCAGUAUCCUGAGUAGCGCGGGACACGUGAAAUCCUGUGUGAAUCCGGCGGGCCCAUCCGCCAAGGCUAAAUACUCGUGAGAGACCGAUAGUGAACCAGUACCGUGAGGGAAAGGUGAAAAGCACCGCGCGUAGCGGAGUGAAAUAGUCCCUGAACCCGUACGCCUACAAGCGGUCGGAGCAACAUUAUGUUGUGACGGCGUGCCUUUUGCAUAAUGAACCUACGAGUUGCCGUCGCCGGCGAGGUUAAGCGCAACGAUGCGCGCAGCCGAAGCGAAAGCGAGUCUUAAACGGGCGCAUAGUCCGCGGCGGCAGACGCGAAACCGAGUGAUCUACCCUUGUCCAGGCUGAAGUCCGGGUAACACCGGAUGGAGGGCCGAACCAAUAAGCGUUGAAAAGCUUCUGGAUGAGGUGAGGGUAGGAGUGAAAGGCCAAUCAAACUCGGAGAUAGCUCGUACUCCCCGAAAUGCAUUUAGGUGCAGCCCCCGUUGUUUCCUGCAUGAGGUAGAGCGACUGAUCGGAUGCGAGGGCUUCACCGCCUAUCAAGUCCGGACAAACUCCGAAUGCGUGCAGGUUAGAGACGGGGAGUGAGGGCAUGGGUGCUAAGGUCCGUGCCCGAGAGGAGAAGAAUCCAGACCGCCGGCUAAGGUCCCGAAUUACAGGUUAAGUUAGUCUAACGAAGUGUUGUCCCGAAGACAGCUAGGAUGUUGGCUUGGAAGCAGCCAUUCAUUCAAAGAGUGCGUAACAGCUCACUAGUCGAGGGACGUCGCAUGGAUAAUAAUCGGGUAUGAAAUCUGUAACCGAAGCCGCGGGAUGUCUUAAGACAUCGGUAGGGGAGCAUUCCACCGGCGUUGAAUGUCGAAGAUGACUUCGGCUGGAGCUUGUGGAAAAGCAAAUGUAGGUAUAAGUAACGAUAAAGAGGGUUAGAUGCCCUCUCGCCGAAAGACCAAGGAUUCCCGGGCAACGUUAAUCGCCCCGGGGUUAGUCGGGCCCUAAGGAUAAGCCGAACGGCGAGGCCGAUGGAAGAAACGGUUAAUAUUCCGUUACUGCCUUGCAUGGCGAUGUGGAGACGGAGAAGUGACACUUCCGCGCACUGACGGAAACGUGCGUUGAAGAGUGUAGGCGUAGAUCGUGGUAGGCAAAUCCGCCGCGAGAGCCGAACUUGACAGUACGCAAAGCCUUCGGGCGGCGCGAUAGCGAAGGUAAGCAAGCUCCCGAGAAAAUCCGCUAAGCUUAACAUGCAAGGCACCCGUACCGUAAACGGACACACGUGGUCGGGUAGAAAAUACUAAGGCGCUUGGAAGAUUCACGGUUAAGGAACUAGGCAAAUUGACCCCGUACCUUCGGAAUAAGGGGUCCUCACAGCGAUGUGAGGCGCAGAGAAUAGGUCCAGGCAACUGUUUAACAAAAACACAGGGCUGUGCAAAUUCGAAAGAUGAAGUAUACAGCCUGACACCUGCCCGGUGCUGGAAGGUUAAGAGGAGAUGUCACCGCAAGGGAAGCAUCGAAUUGAAGCCCCAGUAAACGGCGGCCGUAACUAUAACGGUCCUAAGGUAGCGAAAUUCCUUGUCGGGUAAGUUCCGACCUGCACGAAUGGUGUAAUGAUCCGGACACUGUCUCAACCGUGAGCUCGGUGAAAUUGUAGUA
rnacentral:rRNA from 1 species